UUCUCUUAACGUUAAUGCGAAAUUCUUGUUCGUAAUUAAACAAAAAGCUCGCUGAUGCACCUCACAGAUAUAUUUUUUAAUAUUAAUUCACACUAGUAUAAAAUGACAUCAGCCACUAACGUAAUAUAAAUGGUCAUACAAACAUAACACACAUAAAACGUAAAGUGAAGCAUACUGUAUGGCAGUGAGCAUGUUGGAGGCUAGCUAGCUAGCGGCUAGGGUUUAAAGCUAACAUGGCAUUCUAUAGCUUCACUCAAUGCUUCUUAUCAAACGGCACAAACAGAUGAAAUCAAAUGUCCAACACCAGGCAAAAAGGUCCAAGUCAAAGUCCUGUGCUCACACACAGUUUCAAUAUUGGUUCUGCCAUUCCUACCAAGCAAAUGUAAAACACAAAGCCAGGUGGCAGGUUUGAUUCCAGCAUGGGCCACUCUGGGUCUGCAUGUUCUCCCCCUGACUGCAUGGGUUUUCUCUGGACUCUCUAUUUCCUCCCACAACUAAAAACAUGUAAGGUUUAUUUUUGGUCAGCUUCUGCUGACACUGAACAUGAUUCGUUCCCCGGCUGCAACAAAAGUCCACUGCUCCUCACAAAUUGGUUAAAUGCAGAGAACAUUGUCUGCUGUACAUUUUACACACCUAAAAGUACCUUUACCUAUGAAAAUAUACUGAGUAACAGGAUGUCCUUUCAGAAAAAAAGUGUUGGAAAAAGCAAAAGGAAAUGGUAGAACUCACAGGCAAAUAGGUCUGGGCGAUAUGACCUUAAAAUAAAAUCCCACAUUUUUUGCCCCCGAUAUCUGAUUACCGAUUGAAAAUGAUGGUUUCCCCUUCAAUUAAAAGAAAAUGACAAUUACAUUAUUCAAAACUUGAAGUGACCCUUUAAACACACAGCUUAAUAAAGUUUAAUACAAUAUUUUAAAGGUUUGACAAUUUAACAUCAGUAAAUGAUACAAUGUUUUCUUUGGGAUUAAUGUUACGCAAAAGUGUCUCUGAACAUAACAUUAAUAAAAGGUGCUUCUUCCUACCAAAAUUACCUUUCUCCCUAAAAAAAAAAAAAAAAUCACAUUUCUCGUUUAAAAAACUUAAGCACAUUUUGUUCAAACUCCAAAUCUGGUAUAUUCGCAACCUACUUACACAUUUGGAAAAACGGGUAAAACCGCUUCCUCAUCGCUCGGGUGAAUGCCCAAGGGUACCAUGACAUAGCACCCGUGGGAGCUACAAUGUAUUUUUUUAACACAUAGACACCAAAAAUGACAAUAGCCGAUAUUUAGGCUUUGUUCGUUUACAUAUAGUAUAUCAUAUCAUAUUUGGAUAAAUAAAUCACAUUACAUGUAUUUAACUUGUCAGAAGACAUCAGCCAAGAAGAAAACAUUGAGCAAGUUCGGCUUAUUAUGCCAUUAAUCUUAGUUAUGUUCAUUAACGUAGCAUAGUCAGUUAACCCGUUUUCCAUGUUGGUCACCUGACAUUCCAAAUAUAGCAGCUUUUACAACUAGGGUACCACUGUCGAACACAAGUUGGACAUAAUUAGACUGUGUUCAACUUUGCAGCUUACAAUAAGGAUAGACGUGUCAUUACUGAUUUUUGUUGACUUGCUUGUCUUUCUUUUAACUGAAAUCGAGAUAACUGUUCACAUUUUUGUUUUAUUUUUUUCCGUAUAUCAACAUGCAUAUCCAUGGUUGAUUAUCAUGAUUACUAACGUGAGUGAGUACACUGACUUAACAAUUGAUUGUGUUAAAACCUCCAUGGAAAUACCGUAUUUUCACGACCAUAAGGCACACCGUAUUAAAAGGCGCAGUCUCAGUUACAGGGUCUAUUUCUGUAUUUAACAUACAUAAGGCGCACCGUAUUAAAAGGCGCAGGCAUGGUAAAACAUACGCUAGCUUAAAACAUACGGUAGCAUGCAUGCACGCUAAAACAAUGUUUUUAAAAAGGCAGCGGGAGUAAAACUGAGUUUGGUUGUACUUUAUUGAAGCAUUUAACAAUGUACUCACGUUAUUUUUUGAUCAAUCCUCAUCCACAAAUCUAUCAAAGUCCUCAUCUUCUGUAUCCGAAAUGAACAGCUGGGCAAGUUCUCCAUCAAACACGCCACGUUCCCUCUCGUCAUUGUCGGAGUCAGUCUCGUUGCCGUGCAGCUCCUGAGAAAUUAUGCCGAAAUUUUACGAAAGCUCGAACAACAGUGCAAGCAGACGUGUUAGCCCAAGCAUCCACAAUCCAUUCACAAAUUGUGGCGUAACUCGCCCGGCGCAGCCUCCUAGUCUUAGUACAGCUGUGUUCACCAUCAGUCAUCCAUUGCUCCCACGCUGCUCGAAACUUCACUUUGAACGCCCUCUUUACCCCGAUGUCCAGCGGUUGGAGUUCCUUCGUCAACCCUCCUGGAAUGAUGGCAAGCUACGAGUUAUUGCACUCAGUCGAAUGGUGACUCUAGAGACGCUUCUCCCGGCUGUUCUUUGCUCAUUAAUCCAUUGCUCGAGUUGGUCUUCCAACUCGGGCCACUUCGCCUUGUUUCCGCUUCGUCUUCUUGACUUGGCGAAGCUCGUUUUCCUGCUUCCUCCACUUGCGAACCAUGGAUUUGUUUAUCUUGAAUUCUCUCGCGGCUGCUCGAUUCCCAUGUUCCUCCGUGCAACUGACAGCUUGCAGUUUAAACUGUGCUUUGUAAGCGCGUCUCUUCGUAGGUGCCAUUUCCGGGGGUCCUUAGUCAAACCAAUAUUGUUUUGCACAAUGCACAUACCGGCGCUAUAUACCAACUGGGGGCGUGCCUUUAAUGUCCUCUGUCACGCGCACCAUUCCCCCUUUACGUCUGCAUGCUGUCCUCAGUCACGUCCGCCUUCCUCUAUAUAAGCAGCGUGUCGGCAGGAAAUGCUCCCUGUCAGUCAAGCGGACUGAACAACAUUUACAGAUUUUUUAACUCGGUGCACACUUAAGGUGCACCGCAUUAUAUGGCGCCCCGACCAUUUUUGGGAAAAUUUAGGAGGGGUAGCUUGGCAGCGUAGCUACAGCAGUCAGCGAGACGGGGAAGGCACGGCAGGAACACUGGAGACUGGGAAGAACACAAUCGGGUGAGUACAGAUGCGGGUCGUAGGAUAAUUACUUUCGUAUCACAACACCUGGGAGAACGAGAGUCGGCCGGUGGGUCACAAGCAAGCGUCAAUACUCAGGUGAAGGCUGCAGGGCUUGACUAACUGAAUCUGGACAAAUCACUGCAUGUAAGGGGCAAGGCCGAAAACCAUCAUUGAAUGCCCGUGACCUUCGAUCCCUCAGGCACGCGGCACUGCAUCAAAAACCAACAUCAAUGUGUAAAGGAUAUCACCACAUUGGCUCAGGAACACUUCAGAAAACCAAUGUCAGUAAAUACAGUUCGGCGCUACAUCCGUAAGUGCAACUUUAAACUCUACUAUGCAAACAAAAGCCAUUUAUCAACAAGUCCACAUUUCAUGUCCUCCAGGCAAAAGAGGAAAAGAACCAUACGGACUGUUACGGACGCAAAGUUCAAAAGCCAGCAUUUGUGAUGGUAUGGGGCUGUGUUAGUGCCAAUGGCAUGGGUAACUUACACAUCUGUGAAGGCACCAUUAAUGCUGAAAGCAAGACAAUGCCAAACCACAUUCUGCACGUGUUACAUCAGCGUGGCUUCGUAGUAAAAGAGUGCGGGUACUAGACUGGCCUGCCUGGUGUCCAGACCUGUCUCCCAUUGAAAAUGUGUGCCGCAUUAUGAAGCGUAAAAUACGACAACGGAGACCCCGGACUGUUGAACAGCUGAAGCUGUACAUCAAGCAAGAAUGGGAAAAAAAAUGCACCUUCAAAGCUUCAACAAUUAUUGAAUGCUGUUAAAAGAAAAGGUGAUGUAACACAGCGGUAAACAUGACCCUGUCCCAGCUUUUUUGGAACGUGUUGCAGCCAUAAAAUUCUAAGUUCAUGAUUAUUUGCUAAAAACAAUUAAGUUGAUCAAUUUGAACAUUAAAUAUGUUGUCUUUGUAGUGUAUUCAAUUAAAUAUAGGUUAAACAUGAUUUGCAAAUCAUUGUAUUCUGUUUAUAUUUAUGUUUAACACAACGUCCCAACUUCAUUGGAAUUGGGGUUGUAGUAUCCAUCCUUUUUUUUUGGGGUUACCAAUCCCCAUUUUACAAUAAAUUAAUUAAUACUGUAGUUGAACAAACUAUUUACUGGCUUCUGAUUUCAAAACUAGUUAUCCAUCAAUUUAUGUUUAUGUAUAUGUUGUGUGUAUGUAUGUUAUGAGGCGAUCAUACAUUCAUAUGAGUUCACACACUACAACAUCAGUGACAUGAUUAUAGUAUUGAAGCAGCACUUCUUGAUUGGAGAACACUAAUCUCAUGUUCUUUUUCUCUUACAUUAUCUAUUAUGUAUCUGUCUUUUCUUUCUGAA